UCUUUUGCACGAAAUUUCUUUCUCGUCCACGCCAAGAAGAUAACGGCCGAAACAGAAGGUUCAAGUGAACCGGUUGUUUUAGCCAAAGCAGGAUAUGAUCAUGCGAUUAAGUUCUGGCAAGCACAUAGUGGAAUAUGCCUCCGCACUGUACAGCAUCCAGACUCCAUGUUGUGAUCUUAAACUCUAUAGUAUUAGCAAGUCAAUGCAAGGCAGAUCACACCAGACAGACAGUUAUUAGCUGCUGCAGGAUAUCAACACAUAUGUCAUAUGUUGUAUGAUAUCAAUUGAAGCAAUCCUAGUGCUGUUAUGAGUUAUGAUGGUGUAUCCAAGAAUGUGACUGCUGUGUGUUUUCAUGAGGAUGAUAAAUGGAUGUUCACUGGUGGGGAGGACUGUUCAGCCAGAAUAUGGGAGUUGAGAGACUUACCUUGAAGCAGAGCAGUUGGGUCCUGAACUGACUCUCAUCCUACAGAAGGAACACAGACGAUAACUUAAGUGUCAAGAUUGAAACCCAUUCCAUGGAGGGAACAAAGUUUUUUGUUUUUACUACUCUUGGACCAAAAAAUAAAAAAACAGAAGACAGAGAGUUUUAUUCAUUGUGGAAAAGAGGUUCUUUUAACUCACCAUGUCUAAAAAUGCAGCAAGCUUUGCGAUGGGCAUUGUGGUGUACAACUUCAAAUAGCUAAAAAAACAAAAGGCAAACAAACUUUCCAUGAUGGAAAUGGAGGUUUACUUGCAUCUCCAAGAAAACUUAUUGAUCACAGUCACAGAAUGGAGCAUUUAAUUCCAAAGAAUAGGGGAACUGAAACAA